ACAGUGCAAAAGCCGCGAUGCUCGCCACGUACAGGAUAUCGAGACCCCCUCGAUUACGUCCUCCUUUGCGAGCGGGCUAAGGUCUGAGCAUUCUAGUCCUCCUCGAUCGGCCUUAGCAGGGCCCUGGUCGUAAGGCCGGCGCGACAUAUCAGAAAACCGCUGCUGGUGUGCAUACAAGCCCGCAGAUCCAUUAGGCUCGAGCUUGACUUGAACAUGGUGGGGAGGGUGUGCAUCAGCAGCUUGGGAGAUGUCGCGGGGACUGGGUGGGCAUUCCGGCCGCCAGACGCGACGCGAACUUGUGUCACUCGUCUCGGUGCGCGGUGCUCGUCCUCCAGCUCACUUCGCGGCUCGCAAUUUUGGAGGCUUCGCGCUUCCUGCGAAACUCGAUUCAGACUACUCUUGUGCUGU
rnacentral:RNase_P_RNA from 2 species